rnacentral:lncRNA from 1 species
UCUACACCGAUAACCUGAAGCUAAUAACUGGGCUCUGUGUUGGCUUCAGUAAACGGGGGCUUGUAAUGUAUACGUACUAACAAACAGCCUGGCGUAAAAUGGGAUCGGGAGGUGCGUGGGAAAGCAAUCGUGCAUACUCGGAUCGAGCAACGGCCUGGCGGUUGGCUCGCGUCGCACACACCAGCGGCCAAGCGAUUAGGCACCGGGACACCAUUUUUUUCUGAAAAAUACAUACUAGGCCUGUAAAAAUUCCAGGUCCUCUAUAUUCAUGGACCCUGUGCAGGCCUCACAUACAACCACGCCGAAAAUACGAUUACACAGCCACGCUGACAUGGCGAUAAACUCUAAAAGAAUAUCGAAAUUUCAAAAUAGCGAUGAAGAAUUGUUCCUCGGGAUACAGAAGGAAAGAAAUAAAACAAACAAAUCCACAGCUCCGUCCACCUCAACAAACGUGGCGAAAUGGUUCGACCACCAACGACGACCCUCGAUCGGUCCAAGUCAGAGAGGAAGUGCUUGCACUCAGAGCCCGACACCAAUGAGCAUCCUCCCCGCGAGCCGGAGGCCACCGGCGAGCAGGCCACGACCCUCAAGAAGGCUCCGUCCCGCGUGGUGACCGUCCUCAGCGCCCGACGCCGGCGACGGCGCGAACCCCGGGGAUGCCGCUGGUGGCAUGACCUCGACGAGGAGCCGGCGCGCGUCGGCGGCGGGCAUGGCGACGGCCAGGCAGCCGGCGAGGAGCAGGGCGAGGAGGCAGGUGGCGACCAGGCUCCUCGACGAGACGAAAGCUGCGGCCAUUUUGGUUCGUCCGUGUCGCGUCCUGCGUGCCGUGAAAAUGUGUGUUGUGAUGGUACCUCAGCUUGAUCAGGUACCUCGAUCAUAAGCUCAUGGAAGUUUAUAUAGCCGAUCGCGUCGUGUUAUAGAACCACUACGACGUGUCGUGAUGCGUUGCAUGUGUCGGUGCUCCUCGCCUGUAAAGUCAAUGUAUUUGCUUGGUCGAUCCGUGUGUGCCAGCUUGAGCUCCCAUGCAUGUCGCACGUUAGUUCAACACAACACCUACAUGCGCCGCACACACAGUGCAAUGUGCAACCCACUAAUUAAGUCAGUUUAUACACGUCCAACCAACCAAUCUGUGAUUGGAUGUUUAGAAAAAAGUGAUAUCUUCAAUUUUAUCAUGGUUCAAAUCCUGGUUUUCGCAUUAUUUUUAAUGUUUAUUUCAGAAUUUUUAGUGAUGCACAUUCAGUGGGAGAAAAAAAUUCCGUCGAUGAAAGUGCACUUAUAAUGAUUUCGUAAAUCUGAAGACGAUACACCAGCUCGGUCUCCCGAGAUGCUCAUGAAAAUAGGUGUAUGUAUGUGCGUUCACAUGAUUGAAUGUAUGCGCGUGUAUGUGAGCGCUUACGUUUUUACUGUGUUUAAAAAAAUAUAUGCACGUCCUGUUAAUUCUGGACACGUCGGUGAGCUGUAUGUGAAAGAGGUAGUUGCAUUAAUUGAUAGGGGCGAAGCCCAUUGGCCCGACCUUGAUGCACAGGAAUACAGAUCCAUCAGGAAUUUUAGUGUUACCUACCACCUAAAAAGGCCUUGUGCAUUGGGAUGACCCAACACCAGUGCGUUAGAUCUGUGUUCAGACUUUACCCAUGCUUCUGCAAUGGGCCAACACUGGCCACGCACACGCGCAAUGUUUUUGUUUCCCAACCCAAGUAAUGUACGCACGUUGCAACUUAUCAAUGAGAGCAAUUAGUUAGCGCGCACUCCUUUGGAAGCCUCCUAUCAAUCACUCUCGUGCACCGCCACUUGACGCGCUCUCGGCCACCGCCACGUGUCGCGCUCUAAACGUUCCUUUCGUAUUUUUUUUCGCACGUGUUUUUGGCUUUUUAGCGUGGGUUUUUUCCAGAUUUUUUUAUGUUCCGAUUUUUCACCGGUCUUUCGUAACUUUUGGACGAAAAAACAAAUCAAUUUUUUCCGAGAAAAACGUGUUUACUAUUUUUUUAGUAAUGAUUCUUCUAAUGAUGUGAUCCCGUUAUCAAGUGACAACACUUGCCUAUGGUCAGGAAACCUUGACCAUCUUUGAUCAACGAGCUAGUCAACUAGAGGCUUACUAGGGACAGUGUUUUGUCUAUGUAUCCACACAUGCACUGUGUUUCCAAUCAAUACAAUUAUAGCAUGGAUAAUAAACGAUUAUCAUGAACAAAGAAAUAUAAUAACAACUAAUUAUUACUUCCUCUAGGGCAUAUUUCCAACAACCACCUCCAUGAGUGAAUACAUAUCCGCUCGUGGCCUUUAUCUCAUCAGCAUCAGAGAUCCAGUUUGAAUCACUAUACCCUUCAAGCACCUUUGGGUGUCCAGUAUAGUGAAUUCCAUAAUUUGCAGUGACUUUCAAAUAACGCAAAACUCUCUCUAGAGCUUUCCAAUGCACAUCUCCUGGUUUUGAGACAAACCGACUCAGUUUGCUAACAGCAAAAGAGAUGUCAGGUCUUGUAGCACUGGCUAAGUACAUAAGCGAGCCAAUAAUCUGAGAAUAUUUCAAUUGGUCUCUAGCAAUUCUUCGAUUCUUUCGAAGCAGCGCGCUCGCAUCGUAUGGUGUGGGAGAGGACUUGCAGUCACUAUACCCAAAGCGACUCAAGAUCUUUUCCACAUAGUGAGAUUGAAGCAACAUAAUCCCACCAUCUUCCUCUCUUAACAACUUGAUGUUCAGAAUGACAUCAGCCACUCCUAAAUCCUUCAUCUCAAAACAGUGAGAUAGGAAAUCCUUGACCUCUUUAAUAACAUUCAGAUUUGUUCCGAAAAUCAGUAUGUCAUCAACAUACAAGCAAAGGAUAACUCCCUCGCCCCCACCAUGGCGAUAAUACACAUAUUUACCAGCUUCGUUUACAACAAAGCCUGCAGUUGUGAGUGUUCUUUCGAACUUCGCAUGCCACUGCUUUGGUGCUUGCUUAAGUCCAUAUAAAGACUUCAGCAACUUGCAUACUUUCCCUUCCUGACCAUCUACUACAAACCCAUCUGGUUGUUUCAUGUAAAUUUCCUCAUUCAACUCUCCAUUUAGGAAAGAAGUCUUAACAUCCAUUUGAUGAACGAGAAGACCAUGUGAGGCAGCUAGUGAAAGUAGUACUCGAAUAGUGGUCAGUCGAGCAAUGGGUGAGUAAGUAUCAAAGAAGUCUUCACCUUCCUUUUGGGUAUACCCCUUAGCCACGAGCCGUGCCUUGUACUUUUCGAUAGUACCAUCAGGCCUAAGCUUCUUCUUGAAUACGCAUUUGCAUCCUAUAGGUUUGCACCCAUAAGGACGAUCAGUGAUGUCCCAAGUUUCAUUUGCCAAGAUGGAAUCCAUCUCACUACGGACUGCUUCCUUCCAGUAGUCAGCAUCUUCAGACGCAUAGGCCUCUGAAAUAGAACUGGGAGUGUCAUCUAUGACAUACACAAGAAAAUCAUCACCAAAGCACUUUGGAGUCCUCUGUCUCUUGCUCCUGGUAGGAACUUCAUUGUUCUCCUCCACAAUAUUUUCAAAGUGUUCCAUCGAAAUAAUAGGUUCAGUAAUUGUGACUAAUUCAUGGUUUGAUGAAUUAGGCAUCUCCUGAUUAGAUGAGGUAGCUAUAUCCUUCAUGGGAAAGAUAUCUUCGUAGAAAGUUGCAUCAUUUGACUCCAUGAUUGUACCGACAUGCAUGUCAGAUACCUCAGAUUUUACAACCAAGAAUCUAUAUCCAAUGCUAUGAAAAGCAUAUCCCAGAAAAACACAAUACACAGUUUUUGGUCCUAGCUUACGCUUCUUUGGGAUUGGCACAUUGACUUUCGCCAAACAACCCCAGGUUCGUAGAUAAGUGAGUUUUAACCUUUUCUUUUCCCAUUCCUCGAAUGGAGUUAUCUCUUUGAUCUUUAUGGGAACUCGAUUCAGGACAUGACAUGCAGUCAAUAUCGCCUCCCCCCACCAUGCCUUGGAGAGACCCGAUGUAUCUAACAUGGCGUUAACCAAAUCAGUUAGAGUACAGUUCUUUCUUUCGGCUAUCCCAUUUGAUUGAGGUAAAUAGGGAGGUGUCCUCUCAUGGAUUAUACCAUGUUCCGCACAGAAAGAAUCAAAUUCAUUUGAGAAAUACUCCCCACCACGAUCGGACCUAAGCCUCUUGAUUUUUCGAUCAAGUUGGUUUUCUGCUUCAGCUUUAUAGAUCUUGAAAAAGUUCAAAGCCUCAUCCUUAGAUUUCAGAAGAUACACUCGGCGGUAUCUAGUGGAGUCAUCAAUUAGUGUCAUGAAAUAUUUCUUUCCACCUUUUGUCAAAAUGCCAUUCAUUUCACAUAGAUCUGAAUGUAUGAGCUCUAGCGGUGCUAGAUUUCUCGUUUCCGCAGUCGCGUGAGACUUACGAGGUUGUUUGGCUUGCACACAAACUUGACACUUAGAUCCCUUGACGGUGUUAAAGCUAGGGAUUCAGUUCAAUUUGAAUAGUCGCGACAUGCAACCAAAGUUAACAUGAUAAAGACGUGAAUGCCACACAUUUGAUUCACUAUUGUUGUAAACAUGAUUAACAACUUUAUUGCAAACGUCUGCCAAGGAUAAACGGAACAGGCCUCCUGACUCGUAGCCCUUACCAACAAAAGUUCCAUACUUUGAUAUUACAAAUUUAUUAGACUCAAAUACAAGCUUGUAGCCAUGUCUACACAAAAGAGAUCCGCUAACAAGAUUUUUAUUGACGGAGGGGACAUAAUGCACGUUCUUCAGCCGCACGACCUUUCCCGAAGUAAACUUCAGAUCGACCGUGCCAACACCACGAACAGAAGCAGGUGAACCGUUGCCCAUCAGGAUGGUGGAAGUCCCUGCGGACUGAUAACAUGAAAACAUGGAAAUAUCACCGCAUAUAUGCACAUUAGCACCCGUGUCAAUCAACCAAUCAGGAAAAUGACAUACUGAAAGAAUAGUGGGUAAUAUACCAUACCCAACAUCCUCUAUGUCAGUGUCAGCAAUGACGACAUUAGCAGACUUCCCGCCUUUCCCAUGUUGACGCUUGUCAUAACGAUUAGGGUAGUUAGGUGCCCAAUGAUCAGGAUCUUCGCGCACAUGACAAACACCUUUCUUCUUGUCAUUCUUCUUCUUGAAGUUGGUGUGUUGUACAGCCUUGUUCUUCCCAUCGAACUUUGCUUUACCAUCAAACUUGCCCUUGUUCUUGAAAUUGUGGGGCUGGAAGUUUUUCUUCUGUACCAGAUUGGCACUAGAACCUCCCUCAAUAGCUCGAGCACGUGUGUCUUUUGCUCUCACCUUUUCUUCCACAUCAAGAGUACCUAUGAGAUCCGGAACGGAAAACUCCUGUCUCUUAUGCUUCAGUAAGGUAGCAAAGUUCCUCCACGAAGGAGGAAGUUUAGUGAUGAUGCCUCCGGCAACAAACUUGUCCGGUAGCAUGCAAUUGAAGUGCUCAAGUUCUCUUGCAAAUGACUGUAUUUCCUGAGCUUGCUCAACCAUGGAGCGCUCUUCAGUCAUCCUGUAGUCAUAGAAUUGUUCCAUGAUGUACAACUCAGUGCCAGCAUCCGAGACCCCAAACUUGGUCUCGAGUGCAUCCCACAUAUCAUUUCUAUUAUCAAUUGACGCAUAAGCAUCAACUAUGUUCUCACCAAAAACGCUCAAGAUAGCAGCCUUAAACAAGGUAUCCAUUUUCUGAAAAGCUAGCUCCUGUUGAGCAUCAUGAUCUCCUUCAGGUUUGCCAAGAGUGGCGUCAUAGCAGCUUGUGGUUUGAAACCAUAGAACAGCUCUCACGCGCCAUCUCUUGUAGUGAACACCCUCAAACAUAGGAGGUCUCAUGGAGGCAGCAAAACCACUCGGGGUAAAUUGCCUAUAAUAAGGUUUUUGGAUUGUUGGAAAUAUGAGCAAUUUACCAAAAGAUUUUAUUAAAAGAAAAACUAGGAUAAACAUAACCACCAUGAUAAAGACGGAAGAAGGCAUGCAAUAUAGAGAUGAGAUGACAAAAGACAUGUGCACGUAUGAUCUAGAAAAGAACAUAUGUGUAACCGUUCUAUAUAGACAAGGUAUCAUAUCAAGUGAUGAGCACAAACGGAACAUAUCUAGAAGAGAUACUAUAGCAAAAAAUUGCGGUAGGAACUGAAAAAAGAAGAACAUGAGUAUGUACUGAGUUGCAGCAGCAGUAGGAUUGGUGUUGGCGUUGUCGUUGGCCAUGUUACCAGAGAGGUGGUCGACGUCGGGGAAGUAGUUGUUGUCCAGGAAGAAAUCAUCGGUGUCCGUGAUGGAAGCCAGUAGUCGCGCUGAGCGCUCCCCAAAACCUUAUUGCCCUUCUCCCGUACAGGACUUGAAGAGACGGAGUUUCGGAGGCCUACUGUCCCGAUGAACGGUGCACGCCGCAAGACGGGAUGGGGAAGAACGUAGCAGCAGCACAGAGAAAGGAACCGAUGGCGAAUGGAAACUUAUGAUGCGUCGUCUCUGGAGAGGAGCGACCUCUCUUUUAUAGGCGCAGGAGAAGGAGGCGAGAGGCCAUCGACGGGAGCCGAAGAGAGCACCGGGAUUUGAAAUGAACAGACAGCAGCGACGAAACUGCAACGUUCGCUUUCAAUAUCCACUAGCAAAAACGUUCAGCUUCUACGAGUGGACUUUCGUAUAUCAGUCGUGCAUGGUAAAAAUUUAGUUCGACUCGGCUCAUUCCCGCAACCCGCGGCGCGUCGGCGGAGGAGGAGGAGCGCGUGUAUGUCUCUCUUGUUCUCAAGCUCAUACAUGUGUGGAAACAUCCUCCCUUAUAAGGAGGUCCAACUCACACUAAACUAGCAAUAUGAGACUAAAUAUUUCCACCUCUUGUCUUGCACAAAUGGGCUGCAUGGGCCUCUAGGAUUUAUUAGGAAUUUUCUGAAAUCAUAUAUAUUGGGUUGGCCUGUAUUUGGACAAUAUUCCAGCAAUUUUAUUAUGUUCGGCUAGAAAGUUCAAUUCUAUUUUUAUUUUGUAGCUUACUGAACCUUUUUGAAAAUACAAGACAUCAUUUUCAAGUAAUUUUGUCUCUUAUUUUAUCAAUACAUAUUUUGCUGGCUACAUUUUGUUUUUGUACAUCGCCUUAUCUAAUAAUAUGUGCUACUAGUUGUGAAACAAAACUUUAUUCAAUACAAUGUUGGUUGAAAAUUUUACGCCUUAUUAAAGUUGUGCAUCGGUUAACAUUUGCUCUAGCUCCGCCCCUAUACCUCAUUGUAAUCCUAUAGCUUUGUUACUUCAAAGUUGGCCGAGGUUCAAGCCUUUCUCUGUCUCGGCCUGUGCUUUUCCUCUAAGAAAAAUGCGUAUUGGGGUAUUCAGCGGCCGACACACAUAUACUUACGUUGCAGCACUGCCAAGCAUUGAGGCGUUUCCGGCAACACCAAACAUUGAGGCAUUUCAAGCAACGCCAUCCAGUUCUGUGUUACUCGUGUGCCACAUCAGCAAUCAACGGGAUUAGGCCGAUGUGUGGGUCAGGUCUGCAACGCUGACAACUUCCGCGUUUUCAGGUAGAGCUGCAAUCAGAAGCCUUGUCGUUGCUAAAAAGAAUUAGAUCGUGCUAAAGUUUUCAAGAAGGGUCAAUUCGUGCUAAGGUGGCUUUAAAGGAUCAAAACAGUGACUUUGGCCCAGAUUUUAGGGAUUCCAAGGUUGAGGUUCAAUUCUGACAGGCUCUAUAAGCUUAAGGUAUAAGACAGACCUCACUCACUCACUCGAGCUCAGUGAAUUUGACUGCCUAUAGGAGUUGGUAUAAAGAUUGCAUUUAAUUGUAUGGGAAGAAAAGAUCAAUUCUAUUAUGCAAUGAAAAUACAUCCUUGCCUCAGUUCAACCCAUGCACGCUUAGACAGCCACGCUGACAUGCGAUGAACUCUAAAACAAAUAUCAAAAUUUUGAAACAGCGACAAAGAAUACAAUUCCUCAAAAAACAGAGGGAAUUAAAUAUAAUUGCGAAUAAAAUAACGUAGUACGCAGCGAUUAUGACAUCCAAAGCCCCGUCCACCUCAACAAACGAGGCGAAAUGGUUCGACCACCAACGACGACCCUCUAUCGGUCAAGUCAGAGAGGAAGUGCUUGCACUCAGAGUCCGACACCAAUGAGCAUCCUCCCCGCUAGCCGGAGGCCAUCGGCGAGCAGGCCACGACCUUCGAAAAGGCUCCGGCCAGCGUGGUGACCGUCCUCAGCGCCCGACGCCGGCGACGGCGCGAACCCCGGCGACGCCGCUGGUGGCAUGGCCUCGACGAGGAGACGGCGCGCGUCGGCGGUGGGCAUCGCGGCGGCCAGGCAGCCGGCGAGGAGCAGGGCGAGGAGGCAGGUGGCGGCCAGGUUCUUCGACGAGACGAAAGCAGCAGCCAUUUCGGUUCAGCUUUGAUCAGCCCUGUAGAUGUGUGUUGCGAUGGUAGGUUAGCUUGAUCAGGUAGUACCUCGAUCAUAAGCUGAUGUGAGUUUAUAUAGCCCAUCGUGCCGUGUCGUGGCACUGCUACCACGCGUCUUCGUGGCGCUGCAUAUGUCGGUGCACGCAUACGCACGGUAGUGAAGUCAAUGCAUUUGCUUGGUCGAUCGGCGUGUGCCAGCUUGAGAGCUCCCAUGUUGCAAGUUGGUUCAAUAAGAU